rnacentral:rRNA from 1 species
GUGGGGAAUCUUGCGCAAUGGGCGAAAGCCUGACGCAGCCAUGCCGCGUGAAUGAUGAAGGUCUUAGGAUUGUAAAAUUCUUUCACCGGGGACGAUAAUGACGGUACCCGGAGAAGAAGCCCCGGCUAACUUCGUGCCAGCAGCCGCGGUAAUACGAAGGGGGCUAGCGUUGCUCGGAAUUACUGGGCGUAAAGGGCGCGUAGGCGGAUCGUUAAGUCAGGGGUGAAAUCCCAGAGCUCAACUCUGGAACUGCCCUUGAUACUGGCGAUCUUGAGUUUGGGAGAGGUGAGUGGAACUCCGAGUGUAGAGGUGAAAUUCGUAGAUAUUCGGAAGAACACCAGUGGCGAAGGCGACUCACUGGCCCAAUACUGACGCUGAGGCGCGAAAGCGUGGGGAGCAAACAGGAUUAGAAACCCUGGUAGUCC